GUCUACGGCUAUGCCACCCUGAACACGCUCAAUCCGUCUGAUCUCGGAAGCUAAGCAGGGUUGGGCCUGGUGAGUACUUGGAUGGGAGACCACCUAGGGAGACCACCUAGGGAGAUC
rnacentral:rRNA from 1 species